UCCAUGUUACCCAGGUCACAAUGCAUCAAGUUCUAGAGGGCAUCAACAAUUACCAGUUUAGACAGGAUACUCCAUGAUUUUAUGAGCAAAACCUACUCCUCCCCCUGGGUAAAUGAGAAUUCACUUCAACUAUUACCAGCCCAAAGGUUCACCUCCUUUCCCUGCCGUUUGACUCAGCUCUCCCCUAAGAAUCUUCCUGACACUUAAGUGAAAAUAUCAUAUGCAGAUGAAUGUGACAGUGUAUCGAAUUUGUGCCUUCCAUCUGAAGAACCAGGGGCUGAGGCUGGGUUUUCUCUGGGAUGCCAGAGAGAACACAAGGGCAGGCACUCAGAGCUAGAGUGAAGUUCAAAUAUAAGUAGAGGACCUAAGAAUAUACUGAAACAAAGGACGUGGAAUUGAAACCUUGAGAAAUUCACAGAAAAAUGAGGACCUCACUCUAAUUCUAAAUAAAAAGGGGGAGGUAGGAAGGCGGCAGCUCUCAUCCCAUUCCUACACACUCCAGUGUCCAAGCACAGCUAAGACUGGUUGAGUGCUCAGUACGUGCCAGUCAUUGUUCUCAGUACUUGGCUUUGAUGAGCUUUUUUUACACUUCUCAACAACUAUGUGAGGCAAGUGCUAUGACUGUCCCAUUAUUAUUAAGGACAUUGAGGCACAGAGAAAGUAAGUAACUUGCCCAGUUUCUCUAGCUGGUGGGAGAUAAUUCUGAAUUCUGACCUGUAUGGUUUGGCUUAAAGGCCUGUACACUUAAAUGCUAUGUUACAAUGCUUCCAGAAGUAGGAGAAGAGGAAAAUAAAGACCCAGAAUGGUUUUUAUAGCAACUGCCCUAACCACUCAGCAUCCUUACUGCCCACCUACCAGUCAUAUAAACCCCCAAUGCUAGCCUAUAACAGAGAAGAAGAAAGAAGCGUGUAUUUCUAGCCAAGU